rnacentral:lncRNA from 1 species
UAGUGCUGCAGACUACACCUAUUGCCGAUUUAGAAGCGUUGCUGACUAGGGAGGCAGAUUCCAGACUCCUGGAGUUGAAGAGAAAUAUCCAAGGCUACAGAAUUAGCUCAGCAUCUGAAAACAGUAUUCAUGGUCUAAUUUUUGUUACUCACCAUAUGUUCACUGGUGCUGCCUUCCUGCUGCAUCAUAUUUUAGUUGUUUUCUCAAAUCAGAGGACUCUAAGGACAGUGAGACCAGCAUCUUCCAAAGGUUCUUCUGUAGCACCACUUUAGGAAUGAACCCAUCACAUGAAUACUCUUUGAAUAAAUGAGAGUAACUUCC